GACGAACGCUGGCGGCGUGCCUAAUACAUGCAAGUAGAACGCUGAAGAAAGAACUUGGUUCUCCGUGUAAGAUUUGCAAAGGGGAGAAUCACGCAUGUGACCCGCGCGGUGUCGCGGGAGAACACUAGGGAAAAAUAUCUCUAACACCGCAAAACAAUGGGUGACUCGAGACCUGUUUUUGAAGGGGGCUUGUGCCCCUACACGAUAGGCAUGUGCUGUGUUUUAUCUUUUGUGUGAGGACACGGCUCCCCUGCGACAAUACACAUCCCACACCUGAGGGGGAGAUCGCCCACUGUGACAGAGACACACGCCCCACACCCCCACGGGGCGCCACUAUGGGAACUCCUCCGAUGUGGGGAAAACUGACACAGAAACACCCCGCGAGAGAGAAAAGUGUUCUCAUAUCAAAGCUCUCUUGUGUAAGACGAAAAAGAGUGAGAGAGUGAAAUUCUCACUGUGUCACUGUCUCACAACAGAAGGACAGCGCUAUAUACGUGACAGCAGGCGCGGAUACACAUAUGCCCAGAGCGGUGCCCAUAUAUUGUGCGCAUAAAGAGAGCGCGCGCUUUUAGAUAUCUCAGAUUAAAGAGGGUGUGUCUCACCCAUAGCUCUCUGUGUACUGUGUCACAUGUGUGUGCAAGAGGAGAGUGUGAUUCUCCGUGUAUAGCGGUGAUGUGCAUAUAUAUGGAGAAGAACAGCUGUCGAGAGCGCGUCUCUCUGUUCUGACUGACACUCAGACGCUCAAACGCGUGGAGUGUGCACGUUUUAUACACUGUGGUCCCAGGGGCGAUUUCACAGUAUAUUGACUCUAUCGACGCGUCACUCGGGGGGGCGCAUCCCGUCUGUGUCUCUAUGAGAGGAUUUUAC
rnacentral:rRNA from 1 species